rnacentral:rRNA from 1 species
AUUGAACGCUGGCGGCAGGCCUAACACAUGCAAGUCGAACGAGUGGCGGACGGGUGAGUAAUGUCUGGGAAACUGCCUGAUGGAGGGGGAAAACUACUGGAAACGGUAGCUAAUACCGCAUAACAUCAGUUGUGCCCAGAUGGGAUUCGCUAGUGGGUGGGGUAAGGGCUCACCAAGGCGACGAUCCCUAGCUGGUCUGAGAGGAGGACCAGCCACACUGGAACGUAGACACGGUCCAGACUCCGACGGGAGGCAGCGUUGGGGAAUAUUGCACAAGGGGCGCAAGCCUGAUGCAGCCAUGCCGCGUGUAUGAAGAAGGCCUUCGGGUUGUAAAGUACUUUCAGCGGGGAGGCGUUACCCGCAGAAGAAGCACCGGCUAACUCCGUGCCAGCAGCCGCGGUAAUUC